AUGCGUCUAUCUGACUGACCUGGAGCAGUUACUGUCUGCUCCUAAGGUUCCCAUGCAGAUGCAAGAAAAAAAGGGUCCUGGUGCUCUGAUUAUGGCAGCCAAGACUGCAUGGGGGACACAGUU
rnacentral:snoRNA from 1 species